AACGAACGCUGGCGGCAGGCUUAACACAUGCAAGUCGAACGCCCCGCAAGGGGAGUGGCAGACGGGUGAGUAACGCGUGGGAAUCUACCCAGUUCUACGGAACAACACAGGGAAACUUGUGCUAAUACCGUAUACGCCCUACGGGGGAAAGAUUUAUCGGAAUUGGAUGAGCCCGCGUUGGAUUAGCUAGUUGGUGGGGUAAUGGCCUACCAAGGCGACGAUCCAUAGCUGGUCUGAGAGGAUGAUCAGCCACACUGGGACUGAGACACGGCCCAGACUCCUACGGGAGGCAGCAGUGGGGAAUAUUGGACAAUGGGCGCAAGCCUGAUCCAGCCAUGCCGCGGGAGUGAUGAAGGCCUUAGGGUUGUAAAGCUCUUUCAGUGGGGACGAUAAUGACGGUACCCACAGAAGAAGCCCCGGCUAACUUCGUGCCAGCCGCCGCUGUAAUAC
rnacentral:rRNA from 1 species